UGCCCGGUAGCUAAAUGCGGAAGAGAUAAGUGCUGAAAGCAUCUAAGCACGAAACUUGCCCCGAGAUGAGUUCUCCCUGAGACUAUAAGUCUCCUGAAGGAACGUUGAAGACGACGACGUUGAUAGGCCGGGUGUGUAAGCGCAGCGAUGCGUUGAGCUAACCGGUACUAAUGAACCGUGAGGCUUAACCUUACAACGCCGAAG
rnacentral:rRNA from 2 species